CACUCUGGUGGCCUAGUGGUUAGAGUGUCCGCCUCUGAUGCGAAAGGUCGUGGGUUCGAUUCCUGGUCAAGUCA